rnacentral:rRNA from 1 species
UAGUAUUAAUAGUUAUGAUCUUUAAAUUAAAAGAAUUUGGCGGUAAUCUAGUCUGUUCAGAGGAAUCUGCCCUGUAAUUGAUAUUCCACGAUGAAUUUUACUUUACCUAUGCUUGUAUAUCUCUGUCAUUGAAUGUCCUAUUAGGGUAUUUUCUCUAAUCUUUAAUGUGUAAGAUGUCAGGUCAAGGUGCAGCGAUGGUGAAGAAGAGGUGGAUUACAUUAAAUUUAUUUAUGGAUAGUGAAUAUGGAAAUUUUCUUGAAAUUGGAUUUGAAAGUAAUUUCUAU